CCUCCGUUCCCGCUGCCGACUCCGUCGCUCCUAUAUAAAUAAUCGCGAUUCGCUCCUCGCUCCCAGAAUACUGUGCGUCUGAAGCUGAGAUAACUUCAUUCCUCUCUGGUUGUUGUUUCAGUCGGAGUCGAAGAUGGAAACCAGACCAAAGAAGCAAUGCUUCCUUUGGACUGCGUUUGCCCUGGCAUUUCUAGUCCUCCUAAACGGUAUUCAACUGUCCGAAGGAGGGGACCAAACGCAAAAGAAAGCAGCGAAGGGUCGUGUUGAGAGUUGCACUGGAUGACAAUUGAAUAAACUUCCUGAAAUCAAACGCUUCAUAUACGAAGACCUUCCACUGUAUGAAGAUGUUGUUUUCAAGGCAGUGCCCGGGGCAGAACCACAGUUGUAUCUACUUGAUGACAAUGAUAGUACAAUAGAGACUAUCAAUCUCAGUGACUUAACUCAGUAUGACUGCAAUAAACUGAUGGAAGCCAAUGGAUUCAUCAAAAAGGAUAGUAAAGCUAGCCAUGCUGAUUUAUAAUCUAGUUUAUAUGUAUGUGUGCGUGUGUCUCUCUCAAUCUGGACAAUAUUUUCCACUUUCAGAAAUGGUUUUCACUCAAAUAGUUUCUCUUCAACUAGUGUAGCAAAUCUAUUUAUUAUCCUAUUCACAAAUGUUUAGUAUUGUCUUUCAAACUGACACCUCUAUCUGUUUAUUUUAUUAAGAGAUAGUGAAAGAAUCCUAUAAGGAUAUGGAAAUUUUCUGUUCUUUGUCUAUAAUAGACUUAGUUUAGUUUGAGGAGGUUGCAGAUUUUUCAGGUUUAGGGGCCAAUCAAAUAAUUCUAGAUUAGAAAUUGUUAAAAUUGAAUAAGAAAGAAUGAGAAUUUUCAGUCUAAUCUCUGUUGGAGACUUGGGGAAUUAUAAGUAAAUAGCGGAUUAGUAUUCUAAGACUUGAGACAGAUUUUUAACUGAUAAUAUUUGGUGGAGUUCCAUGACCAAUUAAGAAAUAUUUUAGGUUUAGUUAAUUAAACUUAUUAAUCUUUUGAAUAAGUUGAGACAUUUUUUUCACCAUUCUCCACAAAGCUAUUUAUCGUCAAAUCUAAUCGAAUCAUUAAUUCUUGUAACUAGUUUUGUUUUCUGUGUAAUAUAUGGUAUAAUAAUGUCAUUUCUGUUCUGGUUACCUGUCUUGUCUGUUUGUCUGAGACUGGGAGAAAGUGGAUUGUGUGAAAGGUCUAGAAUCACUUCUAAACUGUCUGUCAUGCGUAACAGCUUUAACUCUUAUGACGUUUCAAAUUUAAAUUUUUGGUUUGGAACUGAUAUCUUACACUUGUUGAGUUGUCAUGCUUGAUGGUACACUUUAGAAAACAACAACACAAACAAUAUUCAACUGAAAACAAAAAC